rnacentral:misc_RNA from 1 species
GAUGAAGAACGUAGCGAAAUGCGAUAAGUAAUGUGAAUUGCAGAAUUCAGUGAAUCAUCGAAUCUUUGAACGCACCUUGCACCCUUUGGCAUUCUGAAGGGUAUGCUCGUUUGAGUGUCAUUGUACUCUCACACUCCCGAUCUUUGCAUUGGGAGCAGUGGACUUGGGUUUGCUGCUUCACCGUCGCUUACCUCAAAUAGGUUAGUGCAACUCUUGGUUGGACAUAGUACGGCGUGAUAAGUGUUCUUCGCCGGUGCCUCGCAAAGAGGGUGGCCGAUCGGGAUGUUGUGCUCCAAACCGUCUUCGGACAAUCUCUGACCACUUGACCUCAAAUCGAGUAAGACUACCCGCUGAACUUAAGCAUAUCAAUAAGCGGAGGA